CAGGAGAAGGAAUGCUAUAUCAGAAAAUCUCAUAGUGCUAUGGUUAACAUGGUCUCCAGAGAGGGAGAUGUCUAUUUAAAUCCUCAAGCAAAGGACAUGUCACAGGGUGGCUGGUACCUGUGGAUACACAAACCCAUCACCCCUGGACCACAGCAGGUGAGUCCAAUCAAGCCAAUUAAGUAGGAUGGGCUACACCUGGGCCUAAUAAGGGCUGUGAGUUGGCAGCUAGAGGAGGAACUGAUUGAGAUAGGCUGUGUUCUAGGGAGGGAAAGUCCUAUGGGAGUGGAGUUAACUUCUGCAGUGGAUUACCUGGAGUAAGGGAAAAUCUUUUUCCUGGAAAGAAACUGGGUGUGCUGUGCAUACUUUGGAGCUGGUGAGAAGUCUGGCAUAGUGCAGAUGGGAAUUGAACCUGGGCCUCCCACAUUCUAGUGUAGGCAAAUGACCAGAGAGGGGAGCCACUGAGAUGAUGCAGCAGACUGAACAGUAUGGAAGAACUCUUGCACUGGGUGGCUGAGCAGCAAAAGGAGUUACAGAAAGCCUUCCAGAAGAUUUGACAGACACAGCACAAA